rnacentral:rRNA from 1 species
AUGUUUGACACUGAUCCGGAUCUCUGGAUUGCUGUUGCCGCUAUGCAAUUCGAAGGAGCAGCAGCACGCUGGUUAUCAUCGGUUCAACACAAAUUUGUUCGAUCGUCGUGGGAGGAUUUUGGUGCUGCAGUUCUGAAUCGUUUUGGCCACAACCAACAUCACUCCCUGGUGCGCAAACUGUACCGGGUGAAACAGACAGGGACAGUGGAAGAGUACAUCAACCAAUUUUCUGAACUUAUGGAUCAGUUGACAGCGUAUGAGCCUGAGUCUGAUAUGCUGCAUUACACCACUCGUUUCAUCGAUGGUCUGAAAGUCAAUGUGAGGAUGGUUGUAGCAGUACAGCGCCCAACGGAUUUGGACACAACUUAUUCCAUUGUUGCUGUUCAGGAGGAAAUGGGGGGCCAUGAAGCUGAAACUGCAUCCAAGAGGUAUACUACACCUAUGUUUCAUCAUUCAGACAGGAUGGUGCCAUCGAAGCAUGUCGAAGGUCACAAAACAUCAGACAAGUCUAAGACCACCGGUUCAGAGGACAAGUUGGCAACACUCAAAGCAUACCGCAGAGCUAACGGACUUUGUUUCAUCUGUGGUGAGCGUUGGGGGCGCGACCAUAAGUGCAACACCACAGUUCAGCUGCACAUGGUGCAAGAAAUGUUGGAAUUCAUUGCCUUGGAUAGCAUGGAUUCAGAUGAUAGUGAUAUGGAUUUAAUGGUACUGUCAGCUGAAGCACAACAAAUUCAAGGGGGAACUAAUGCCAUCAGAUUAGAGUGCCAAUUGGGUGGUCAUGCAGUUGUGCUCCUGGUGGAUUCAGGUAGUUCUCAUUCUUUCAUCAGUGCUCGGUUGGCUGCUCACAUUACAGGCCAGCAAUUACUGCCUUCACAACAAACUGUUAGGAUUGCUGGUGGAGGUACACUUCCUUGUACUCACAUCAUUCCUGCUUGUGCCUGGUCUGCUGCUGGUCAUGAGUUCAAGUGUGACUUUAAGGUGUUACCUCUGCAACAUCAUGAUGGAAUUGUGGGAACGGAUUGGCUGUCCUCCUUGGGUACUAUGCAAGUCAAUUGGUUAGAGAAGUGGCUAGCCUUUGAUCAUCACGGCCAUCCGGUGUUCUUAUAA